GAAAUGCGAUAAGUAAUGUGAAUUGCAGAAUUCAGUGAAUCAUCGAAUCUUUGAACGCACAUUGCGCCCGUCAGCAUUCUGGCGGGCAUGCCUGUUCGAGCGUCAUUUCAACCCUCAGGACCCCCCUUUCGCGGGGAGGGACCUGGCGUUGGGGAUCGGCCCGCCCCCGCAGCGGCGCCGUCCCCGAAAUCUAGUGGCGGUCUCGCUGCAGCCUCCCCUGCGUAGUAGUUACAACCUCGCAUCGGAGCGCGGCGCGGCCACGCCGUAAAACCCCCGACUUUCUGAACGUUGACCUCGGAUCAGGUAGGAAUACCCGCUGAACUUAAGC
rnacentral:misc_RNA from 1 species